GGGGGGGGGGGGGGGGGGGGGGGGGAGGGGCGGGGCGAGCGGGGGGGGCGGGGGUGGGGGCGGGCGGGUGGGUGGCGCGUGGGGAGGGGCCUUGCGGUUCGGAGUAACUCAGGGAGACGUGUGCUGAUACCGAGUGUGCCCUACGGGGGAAAGCUUGAUCGCCUUUCGAGCGGCGCGCGUCUGCUUCGCUAGUUGGUUGAGGUAAUGGCUCACCAAGGCGACGAUCAGUAGCUGGUCUGAGAGGAUGAUCAGCCACAUUGGGACUGAGACACGGCCCAAACUCCUACGGGAGGCAGCAGUGGGGAAUCUUGCGCAAUGGGCGAAAGCCUGACGCAGCCAUGCCGCGUGAAUGAUGAAGGUCUUAGGAUUGUAAAAUUCUUUCACCGGGGACGAUAAUGACGGUACCCGGAGAAGAAGCCCCGGCUAACUUCGUG
rnacentral:rRNA from 1 species